rnacentral:rRNA from 1 species
AGCGAACGUUUGCGGCGGGCCUAACACAUGCAAGUCGAACGAGAAUCCCUUCGGGGAGGAAAGUGGCGCACGGGUGCGUAACACGUGGAUAACCAACCCCCUGGCUCGGGACAACACUGGGAAACCGGUGCUAAUACCGGAUAUGGCGAGCGGAUCAUCAGGUCUGCUCGAGAAAGGCACGCAAGGGUCACCAGGGGACGGGUCCGCGUCCCAUCAGCUUGUUGGUGAGGUAAUGGCUCACCAAGGCUAAGACGGGUAGCUGGUCUGAGAGGAUGAUCAGCCACACUGGAACUGAGACACGGUCCAGACUCCUACGGGAGGCAGCAGUGGGGAAUAUUGCGCAAUGGGCGAAAGCCUGACGCAGCCACGCCGCGUGAGCGAUGAAGGUCUUAGGAUCGUAAAGCUCUGUGGGGGGAGAAGAACAAAGCCGGUGAAGAGCCGGCCUGACGGUAUCCCCUUAGCAAGCACCGGCUAACUCCGUGCCAGCAGCCG